rnacentral:tRNA from 1 species
AAGGUUUUAAGUUAUUUAAACUAGUAGCCUUCAAAGCUAUCAAAAAAAAAUUUUUUUUUAAACCUUA